rnacentral:rRNA from 1 species
GAAAGAUGGUUUCGGCUAUCGCUUACAGAUGGGCCCGCGGUGCAUUAGCUAGUUGGUAGGGUAAUGGCCUACCAAGGCAACGAUGCAUAGCCGACCUGAGAGGGUGAUCGGCCACACUGGGACUGAGACACGGCCCAGACUCCUACGGGAGGCAGCAGUAGGGAAUCUUCCGCAAUGGACGAAAGUCUGACGGAGCAACGCCGCGUGUAUGAAGAAGGUUUUCGGAUCGUAAAGUACUGUUGUUAGAGAAGAACAAGGAUAAGAGUAACUGCUUGUCCCUUGACGGUAUCUAACCAGAAAGCCACGGCUAACUACGUGCCAGCAGCCGCGGUAAUACGUAGGUGGCAAGCGUUGU